CAAUAGCGUAUAUUAAAGUUGUUGCAGUUAAAAAGCUCGUAGUUGAAUUUUUGCUUGCCGCCGAUGUCGGAACUUCCGUACGUUCGGCGGCGUGCAUCCUUGGGUGGAACCUGUGUGGCAUUAGGUUGUCGUGCAGGGGAUGCUCAUCGUUUACUGUGAAAAAAUUAGAGUGUUCAAAGCAGGCUUACGCCGUUGAAUAUAUUAGCAUGGAAUAAUAAGAUAGGACCUUGGUACUAUUUUGUUGGUUUGCGCACCGAGGUAAUGAUUAACAGGGACAGUUGGGGGUAUUCGUAUUCCAUUGCCAGAGGUGAAAUUCUUGGAUUUCUGGAAGACGAACCACUGCGAAAGCAUUUACCAAGGAUGUUUUCAUUAA
rnacentral:rRNA from 1 species